rnacentral:ncRNA from 1 species
GCUUCUCAUUGAACUUUCUGGACAUAUCCAGAUUUGACUAGGAAUCAGAUGAUAGGCAAGUAACAGUAGAGAGAGGAUGCAGUACACGGACGCCUGCCUGAACAGCUAGCAGGUUUCCUUUGAUGAUCUUCACCGGUUGUCUUGGGUGACCGACAAGUUUACUUUGAAAAACACUAGUGUGCUGAAAGCAGGUGUGACACUUGCAUAAUGGUGCAUGGAAUAGUAGAACAAAGCCACUGUUCUAUUUAGUUGAUUUUCGGAAUACGAGGUAAAGGUUAAGAGGAACAGAUGGGGGCAUUCAUAUUGCGACUCUAGAGAUGAAAUUCUUGGAGCGUCGCAAGACGAACUACUGCGAAUGCUUUUGCCAAGAAUAUUUCCAUUAAUCAAGAAC